rnacentral:misc_RNA from 1 species
GAUGAAGAACGUAGCGAAAUGCGAUACGUAAUGUGAAUUGCAGAAUUCAGUGAAUCAUCGAAUCUUUGAACGCAUAUUGCGCUCUCUGGUAUUCCGGAGAGCAUGCUUGUUUGAGUAUCAGUAAACACCUCAACUUCCAUAUCUUUUUUGAAAUGGGAGUUGGACUUGAGUGAUCCCAACGCUUUUCCUCACCGAAAAGUGGCGGGUUACUUGAAAUGCAGGUGCAGCUGGACUUUUCUCUGAGCUAUAAGCAUAUCUAUUUAGUCUGCCUAAAAAACAGAUUAUUACCUUUGCUGCAGCUAACAUAAAGGAGAUUAGUUCUUGUGCUGACUGAUGCAGGAUUCACAAAGACAGCUUCGGCCGAAUUUGUAAACUCGAUCUCAAAUCAAGUAAGACUACCCGCUGAACUUAAGCAUAUCAAUAAGCGGAGGA